UUUCCGUAGGUGAACCUGCGGAAGGAUCAUUAUUGUAUAACCGAGCUGCGAGGGCCGUCUCUGACCCGAAAGGUCGCGCACGCCCGAGUGCCCUCACCCACACCCAUCUCACCCCCACGUGCACCACCGCGCGGCUCCCCACUUGGCUUGUUUGGAGGGGGGUCUCCGUUUUCACACAUACUCUGUAUGCAGCGUAGAAUGUAUCUACUGAUCUCUCGAUCACGCAAUCAAUAAAACUUUCAACAACGGAGCUCUUGGCUCUCGCAACGUACAAGAACC
rnacentral:misc_RNA from 1 species